rnacentral:misc_RNA from 1 species
AUGAGCAUCACUGUGAAAGACAUUAUCAUACUGACUAAUGCAUAUUGCGGUUUGCGCACUGAGGAUAGCUGCUCAAAAACUGCUGAUGGAAGCUCUACAACAAAAUUUGUGAUAAGGAAAAUCCGUUCCAGGGUCGUAUCCCUUUGAUUCGAGCUAUGCUUCCUUUUUUGGUUCUCUUCUUGCUUAUCAAUGUUGAGGACAACCUCGGAUCCAGUCGAAAUAUCUCCUGUGACCCUUUGAAUCAAGCCAUCUGCGGUUCCGUCCGAUUUAGCAUCGUCAAUAGACACCGGACUCAAAGGCUUACUCAAAAUCAUCAUAUCAGAUGAUCGAUCUUGAAUUGUUGAUGAUAUAGAUAAUCU